rnacentral:rRNA from 1 species
UACGUAGGGACCAAGCGUUGUUCGGAUUUACUGGGCGUAAAGGGCGCGUAGGCGGGCUGCCAAGUCGGUGGUGAAAUCGUCCGGCCCAACCGGACAAGUGCCGCCGAUACUGGCAGCCUCGAGGGAGGUAGGGGUCGAGGGAACUUCCGGUGGAGCGGUGAAAUGCGUAGAUAUCGGAAGGAACGCCGGUGGCGAAAGCGGCAUGCUGGGUCCCUUCUGACGCUGAGGCGCGAAAGCCAGGGGAGCAAACGGG